GACACCACACUUUUCUUAUCGCAUUAGGGUUUCAUCUUCUCUAAUACGCUUCUGCAUCUAGAUCUCAAAUCGAUGACAAGAUUUCAUCUUCUUCCCUAAGAUUCAUCGGUUUUCAUCUCUCAAUUUAGGGUUUCGACUAUAUAUUUCUUAUAAUCCGAAGAACACACAACCUUCAUUCGCAUCUAGGGUUUCUGUUUCUUCCAUCAUACACCUCCUUCUCAUCAUCCCUAAAUCUCAUUCCUGAAAGAUCAUCAAUACCAAGAUCUCUUUUUUUUUUUUUUUUUGCACAACCUCCUCAACACUAAUAUGUCUUCUUCUUCAAUCUCGCCACACCAAAGUCAUGACAAGGUUUGUUUAUUUUUUGAAAAUCAUAGCAAGUGAUUUCUAUGAUUCAAGAUAGUCAAUUUCUUUCAUCACAGAUAGUCAAGAAGGUUUAUGGAGAUGAAGAUUGUUCGAUUUCUGGGUUCCAUCACAGGUCCUUUUUUUUGGAAUCAAACACGAAAAUAAUGGAUUGGAGAUAAAGGAUCCAGCUACAAAAGAAAGCUAGAAAAGCUGAUAUAAGCGCUUUCUGGCUGAUUUUGUUAGGAUGGCUGAAUUUGAAAAUGUAAUGGAGUUGAAGGUCAUGAACGAUGAUGGAUUCGUGAUGAAUAUGCAUAUUGGGGCUGAACAUUCAGAGGGUUACAAGAGGUAUGUUUUCUAAAGGAUGGGAGAAGUACAUGAAAGAAAGUGGUUUAUAAAUGGAUACAUAUAUGUAUAUAAAUUAUUUAUACGUUUAUGACUUAUGUAAUAUGUAAUUUAAACAUAUAAUAUAAUGCUCUGUUUUGCAGAUUACUAUGAUAUAUUGCAAAAUAAAUUAUUGUUUUCUUAGAUAAUGCUAAUCUGGACAUUUUUCUGAAGUGUCUCUCAUAGGCUUGACAUCGAUUACAGCUCCUUGAAAGCCCUAAGUCACACAUUUCAAUAAGGUAUUUCUAAAUUACCCUACAUCCAUUUAUACUGAUCGGUUAGGUUGGUGAAAGGAUAUUUAAAAAAAGUUGUAUUGCUUUUUGAAUGGAUUGUCUUUGAUCAUAGUAUGCACUUAUUUUGUUAUCAACUGGAACACAGCAUGAAGAAGAAAAACUAAUGUUCAGUUGUUUAUUGCAUCAUAUAUUCCUUUAUUCACCUGUUGGCCCCAUUUUCUAAAUUAAUGAGUACAUAUAAAUUUUAUAAACUCAUUUGAACUGAUUUUUUUACAUCUAUCAAUAAGAUAAUAUUGAACUCAAUCUCGAAGAGUUAUUUUUUGUGCCACUAAGUUAGGGAUGAGCACGGUACCCGUUCGGUAUCGAAAAAUGGAGAAAAUUGGUACCGGUACCGAAGACCGGUUCGGUACCGGUGUUUUACCCGUAAAUACCGGUACCGAUACCGAAAAACGAGGAAAAUGGAUACCGGUACCUGUACCGAAUAUACACGGUACCAAAUGCUCAUCCCUACACUAAGUUGUUGUAGCAUGCUCAUAGCUGGAAGAAUGGUUAUUAAAUAGUUUUUGAUCCAAACUUACGUGUAAGAACACAAAUAUGUUUACUCGCAUGAUGCGACUCAUUGUAGACUGAUAUAAACAUUUUGAAUCUUUUCUUACUCGGAUAUGGAUAAUGAAAUGUAACGUUCAAACCGAAGUACAAGAUUGGAAGUUCAACAGUUCUUUUGUUUUUUUGUGUUCAAAGUUCAAAUACGGUUUGCAAGAGGGAGGAUGUUGUAUGCAAAUCGUAAGUAGAGGGUGGUUCAGGGGUUGGAAUAGGAAACUUUGGUGAGGUGGGACCAUUGGAUUAGCUUCUUUUGAUACAUCAAAGGUAUAUCGUUAAUUAGUUCCCCGUCACCUAUUUCCUUUGCUCGAUAGCGGGGAUUACAGAUUUCAACUGAGUCAAGUUUAUAUUAGCGAAAAAAGGUGCAUUAGGGACGAUAUGGAUCGCGCGCAUCUGGAUAGCUGCAUAAUUGGUGGCAAUUCAAUGCUAGAAGAUGCUAACAUUAAGGAUAUGAAGGAUGUGGAAGGUUUGAUCCGUCUCCCAGUCAAAGAUAACAACAGUCCACCAACCCAGAAAACAAAUUGAUGUGAUGUCUGUUGAAACUAAAGCUCUUCUUGACCCGCUUAACGGUUUGCCCAAGUAAGAAUAAAUUUUAUAUUUAAUCUGUUAACUAAAUGGAAUUUUUUGGGUGCGAAUUGACACGCAUAUUUAGUAUAAUGUGCCCAAACAUGUUUUAACAUAAUAAGUUGUUUUUCUUUCCGAAUUGUGUUCUUAAUGUUCAACUUUAGAUUUCCAUAA